GCAUCGUCAGCUCAUCGGCCUGCCGGCGGCGACUGUAGAGCAUCCGACCGAUAAUCGGAAGGCGGAUGGUUCGACUCCAUCACGAUGCACCA
rnacentral:tRNA from 1 species